rnacentral:lncRNA from 1 species
AGGUCACGUGGACGGGCGGCGCGGCCAGGGGAGCGGAAGUGGGCGAGGCGGCGGCCCCGGCCCGGGGGGGGGGGGGGGGCUGGGCCGACCGGGCCGGACACGCGACACCCGCCGCCCGCCGCCACCGGCCAGGACCGGCCAGGACCGGCCAGGACCGGCCAGGACCGGACGAGCAGCGUGAGCCUCUGCGCACGCGCCUCCCCUCCCCUGCUUAGCCCACAAACCCUCGCUGGGCCUCCCCCGCCCUCCCCCCAUCCUCUCCCCUCCACCUUCUCCCUCCACCCUCUCCCCCACCCUCUCCCCCACCCUCUGUCCCACCCUCCCCCCCACCCUCUCUCCCAUCCUUGCCCCCAUCCUCUCCCUCCAUCCUCUCCCCCAGCCUCUCCCCCCCAAUCCUCUCCCCUCCAGCCUCUCCCCCAACCUCUCCACUAUCCUCUCCACUAUUCUCUCUACUAUCCUCUCCACUAUCCUCUCCACUAUCCUCUCCUCCAUCCUCUCCUCCAUCCUCUCCCCCCAUCCUCUCCCCCCAACCUCUCCACUAUCUUCUCCCCACAACCUCUCCCCCCAACCUCUCCUGCAUCCUCUUUCCCAGCAUCUCCCCCAUCCUCUUCCCCAUCCUCUCCCCCAUCCUCUCCUCCAACCUCUCCUCCAUCCUCUCCCCCAACCUUUCCCCCAUCUUUUUCUCCCAUCUUUUUCCCCCUUCCUCUUCCCCCCAUCCUCUUCCCCCCAUCCUCUUCCCCCCAUCCUCUUCCCCCCAUCCUCUCCCCCCAACCUCUCCUGCAUCCUCUUUCCCAGCAUCUCCCCCAUCCUCUUCCCCAGCCUCUUCCCCAGCCUCUUCCCCAGCCUCUCCCCCAUCCUCUCCUCCAACCUCUCCACUAUCCUCUCCUCCAUCCUCUCCCCCAACCUUUCCCUCAUCUUUUUCCCCCUUCACCUUUCCCUUUUCCUCUUCCCCCCAUCCUCUUCCCCCCAUCCUCUUCCCCCCAUCCUCUUCCCCCCAUCCUCUUCCCCCCACCCUCUUCCCCCCACCCUCUUCCCCCCACCCUCUUCCCCCCACCCUCUUCCCCCCAUCCUCUCCCCCCCCACCCUCUUCCCCCCACCCUCUUCCCCCCACCCUCUUCCCCCCAUCCUCUCCCCUCCAUCCUCUCCCUCCAUCUCCGGGACACCAAUCUGCUUUCUCCACCCCCCCUCUCGGUUGGCCUCCCGAGCCUGCGCUGUGGACCGGUGAGGGAGGGGCUUCUGGCCCUCCGUGGGACCGGCCCAGUCGCUUUCUUACUCGCCCCUUGGCCUGGGGGACCGACAGGGGUUGGGAGCCCAGGCCAGGCCUGGUGCUGA